CAGAUCAGAAUGCUGCGGUGAAUGCGUUCCCGGGUCUUGUACACACCGCCCGUCACACCAUGGAAGUUGGGGGUGCCCAAAGUCGGUUAGAAAAUAAACUGCCUAAGGCAAAACCAAUGACUGGGGUGAAGUCGUAACAAGGUAAC
rnacentral:rRNA from 1 species